rnacentral:rRNA from 1 species
GACGAACGCUGGCGGCGUGCUUAACACAUGCAAGUCGAACGAAGAGCGAUGGAAGCUUGCUUCUAUCAAUCUUAGUGGCGAACGGGUGAGUAACGCGUAAUCAACCUGCCCUUCAGAGGGGGACAACAGUUGGAAACGACUGCUAAUACCGCAUACGAUCUAACCUCGGCAUCGAGGAUAGAUGAAAGGUGGCCUCUACAUGUAAGCUAUCACUGAAGGAGGGGAUUGCGUCUGAUUAGCUAGUUGGAGGGGUAACGGCCCACCAAGGCGAUGAUCAGUAGCCGGUCUGAGAGGAUGAACGGCCACAGUGGGACUGAGACACGGCCCAGACUCCUACGGGAGGCAGCAGUGGGGAAUCUUCCGCAAUGGACGAAAGUCUGACGGAGCAACGCCGCGUGAGUGAUGACGGCCUUCGGGUUGUAAAGCUCUGUUAAUCGGGACGAAAGGCCUUCUUGCGAAUAGUUAGAAGGAUUGACGGUACCGGAAUAGAAAGCCACGGCUAACUACGUG